AGAGUAUAGCUCAGUGGUAGAGAGCAUGCUUAGCAUGCAUGAGGUCCUGGGUUCAAUCCCCAGUACCUCUA
rnacentral:tRNA from 1 species